rnacentral:lncRNA from 1 species
AGCAACAGCACUGAUCUGAAGGGUGGACGUCGCCGAAGGCGACGUAGGAAGAAACUAAGUACAACAGACCCAAGGCACCCCAAACCAAACAGGAGUGGCUAUAAUUUCUUCUUCCAGGAUCAGCACAGAAUCCUUAAGCCACAAUAUCCUGGACAAGACAGACUGAUCAGUAAAAUGAUUGGCGAACGUUGGAACAAUCUGAGUCCUGAAGAUAAAGCUGUAAGAGUAGACAAAAUCUUUAAUGUUCACUAUGCUGAACCAGCAGCUGUGUGCGGGUGAUGCUAUAUAUGUGCCUCUUGUGACUCUUACCGGUAUUUCAGGUAUAUCAAGAAAGAGGCGUACAGGAUAAGGAGCGAUACCGGACUCAGUUGGCUGCUUAUAAAGAAGAACAGAGGACAGGCCAGCCUGUCAGCAAUGCUGUGCCUAUCCAGCAGAGACUCCCUCAGACAGAAGUGACGAUUGAUGAAGUAGACUCCAAGGUGAGCGAAGGUGAUAUGCUGCUGUCGAACCAAGGGUACAGCAGUAGUGACGAAAGUGAGCAUUCAGGAUUAAAAACAGUAGAUGAGCUCAACACCGACACAUCCCCUGAGAUGAGCAUGGAAACAACUGAGAUGAGCAUGGAAACAACUGGUUCUCCCGGACACCCUGAUCCCUCUGCUGAUGGGGACCGGUUUGAACUGCGACGGAGAGAAAUCCCCAAGGCAGAUGAGAAACAGAGCAUGCCACC